CCUACGGGAGGCUGCAGUCGAGAAUCAUUCACAAUGGGGGAAACCCUGAUGGUGCGACGCCGCGUGGGGGAAUGAAGGUCUUCGGAUUGUAAACCCCUGUCAUGUGGGAGCAAAUUAAAAAGAUAGUACCACAAGAGGAAGAGACGGCUAACUCUGUGCCAGCAGCCGCGGUAAUACAGAGGUCUCAAGCGUUGUUCGGAAUCACUGGGCGUAAAGCGUGCGUAGGCUGUUUCGUAAGUCGUGUGUGAAAGGCGCGGGCUCAACCCGCGGACGGCAGAUGAUACUGCGAGACUAGAGUAAGGGAGGGGGAACCGGAAUUCGCGGUGUAGCAGUGAAAUGCGUAGAUAUCGAGAGGAACACUCGUGGCGAAGGCGGGUUCCUGGACAUUAACUGACGCUGAGGCACGAAGGCCAGGGGAGCGAAAGGGAUUAGAUACCCGAGUAGUC
rnacentral:rRNA from 1 species